AGCGAACGCUGGCGGCGUGCUUAACACAUGCAAGUCGAGCGAAGGUGUUUCAAGGGUAACCUUGAGAUACACUUAGCGGCGGACGGGUGAGUAAUACGUGGAUAACUUACCUCUAGGCCUGGGAUAACCCCGGGAAACUGGGGCUAAUACCUGAUAAGACCACAUUGUCUACGGACAAAGGGGUAAAAGGUGGCUGUGCAAACAGCUAUCGCCAAAAGAUAGGUUCACGUCCCAUCAGGCAGUGGUGAGGUAAUGGCUCACCAAACCAAAGACGGGUAGCCGGCCUUGGCGGGUGAACGGCCACACGGGGACUGAGACACGGCCCCGACUCCUACGGGAGGCAGCAGUGGGGAAUAUUGGGCAAUGGGCGCAAGCCUGACCCAGCGACGUCGCGUUGGGGAAGAAGGCCUCCGGGUUGUAAACCCAUGUCGGGAGGAAAGAUGGGUCUGUUUGCUAAUACCAAAUGGACUUGACGGUACCUCCGGGA
rnacentral:rRNA from 1 species